rnacentral:rRNA from 1 species
AUUGAACGCUGGCGGCAGGCCUAACACAUGCAAGUCGAACGGUAACAGGAAGCAGCUUGCUGCUUCGCUGACGAGUGGCGGACGGGUGAGUAAUGUCUGGGAAACUGCCCGAUGGAGGGGGAUAACUACUGGAAACGGUAGCUAAUACCGCAUAACGUCGCAAGACCAAAGAGGGGGACCUUCGGGCCUCUUGCCAUCGGAUGUGCCCAGAUGGGAUUAGCUAGUUGGUGAGGUAACGGCUCACCAAGGCGACGAUCCCUAGCUGGUCUGAGAGGAUGACCAGCCACACUGGAACGGAGACACGGUCCAGACUCCUACGGGAGGCAGCAGUGGGGAAUAUUGCACAAUGGGCGCAAGCCUGAUGCAGCCAUGCCGCGUGUAUGAAGAAGGCCUUCGGGUUGUAAAGUACUUUCAGCGGGGAGGAAGGGGUUAAGGUUAAUAACCUUAGCCAUUGACGUUACCCGCAGAAGAAGCACCGGCUAACUCCGUGCCAGCCGCCGCAGUAAUAC